GGACAUUAUAGAGAUAUUUUAUUGCACAGUAGUAAAAUCAAAAGGUUUGUUAGUGAUGAUGCUGAUUCAUUCAACGACGUCAAGUGGCUUAAUUUUCCUCAGAAACGUUAAUGGUUUCUUAAAUACUGAGGAUGUUUUAGUAUUUGAGAUAGCUCGCUCAUUCAAAGGGAAUGGCUAAGAAUGAUUCCACAUCAUCUUCACUGUUAACAUGAACUGAUGUCACCCAGAAUCAUGAAGCAUAUUCCAAAAGGGCCUAGCGCUUAAGUUGUGAUUACUCGCCCCGGAGAAGAGUUUGAAGAAGCUUUUGUAGUGGCUAAUUAGCAACGACGGCAUGGCGUUUUUACAUGCAGAUUAUGAGACAUUGUUGAUAAACUGACCUCCUACGCCUCCAUGCUUUGGAGGAGAAAACACCCGGGAAAAUCCCUCAAAGGCUAUUCUGUAAUGGUCUUCCCUCUCUCCCUCCUUCCCUCAUCACCAUCCUCCUCUCCACUCAGAGAGGAGAUAGUGGGGAGACACUUGCAGUGCAUUCCAAUAAAAAGAGGGAGAAGAGAAGUAAACAAGGAGGGGGAAGCCUGGCCUGUGUGGUGCUAAUGACCAGGAAAAUAGAGUUCAUGUGGGAGCUGUCCGUGGAUGGAUGGAUGGAUGGAGAGAAGUGGUGCAGAAAAGCAUCUGAAUCAGGGGAGGGAUGGGAGGAUGUGUGUGUGUCUGUGGGUGUGUGUGGGGGAGGGAUGGGAGGAUGUGUGUGUGUCUGUGGGUGUGUGUGGGGGAGGGAUGGGAGGAUGUGUGUGUGUCUGUGGGUGUGUGGGAGAGGGAGGGGAGGGUGUGUGUGUGUCUGUGGGUGUGUGUGGGGGAGGGAUGGGAGGAUGUGUGUGUGUCUGUGGGUGUGUGUGGGGGAGGGAUGGGAGGAUGUGUGUGUGUCUGUGGUUGUGUGUGGGGGAAGGAUGGGAGGAUGUGUGUGUGUCUGUGGGUGUGUGUGGGGGAGGGAUGGGAGGAUGUGUGUGUGUCUGUGGGUGUGUGUGGGGGAGGGAUGGGAGGAUGUGUGUGUGUAUGUCUGUGGGUGUGUGGGGGGAAGGAUGGGAGGAUGUGUGUGUCUGUGGGCGUGUGUGGGGGAGGGAUGGGAGGAUGUGUGUGUGUGUGUGUGUUUGUGGGCGUGUGGGAGAGGGAGGGGAGGGUGUGUGUGUGUCUGUGGGUGUGUGUGUGUCUGUGGGUGUGUGUGGGGGAGGGAGGGGAGGAUGUGUGUGUCUGUGGGUGUGUGUGGGGGAGGGAGGGAGGGGAGGAUGUGUGUGUCUGUGGGUGUGUGUGGGGGAGGGAUGGGAGGAUAUGUGUGUGUCUGUGGGUGUGUGUGGGGGAGGGAUGGGAGGAUGUGUGUGUGUCUGUGGGUGUGUGUGGGGGAGGGAUGGGAGGAUGUGUGUGUGUCUGUGGGUGUGUGUGGGGGAGGGAUGGGAGGAUGUGUGUGUGUCUGUGGGUGUGUGUGGGGGAGGGAUGGGAGGAUGUGUGUGUGUCUGUGGGUGUGUGUGGGGGAGGGAUGGGAGGAUGUGUGUGUGUCUGUGGGUGUGUGGGGGGAGGGAGGGAUGGGAGGAUGUGUGUGUGUCUGUGGGCGUGUGGGAGAGGGAGGGGAGGGUGUGUGUGUGUCUGUGGGUGUGUGUGGGGGAGGGAUGGGAGGAUGUGUAGGAGGGGAGGGUGUCAGAGAGGCAGUGGUGGCCUGGGCGCGCUACCAGAGGGCCCGCCAUUAUGCUCUCUCAUUUGGAAAUCUCUUUCAGGAAGGAGAGAGAGAGAGGGAGGGAGGCAGGGAGAGAGAGGAGAGAGAAGUACGGAUGGAGGGGCCUCCUCUCCUCCACCCCCAGCCAGAUAAACAAAAGCAGGCUGAGACCCUGCAGAAGGGCUGAAGGAGGAGAGAGAGAGGUGGUGAGAG
ensembl:lncRNA